ensembl:ncRNA T06H11.13 ncRNA
CUUGGUCUAUCUUCGAAGAGCUUAUCAUUUCUUUUGCGUUUUCGUUUUCAUUUUUCUCCAACUUUUUACGUUCUCGACAGAACGGAGGGCUGGUGGGCGCAUUUUUGUUGCUGUCAAAUUAACAACUGGUGAGAAGAUAGGGAGGAAAUGUUUCAAAAGACAAGGAGUCCGACCAGUCAAAACGA